GUAGUUUAUUUUUUACAUCAGCGAUCAAGAGAAAGAACAGGAAACUACAGCAAUUGCACGCGACAGCAAUUCCUCCCAGGAAGUGGUGCAGUGCAAGCCAGUCCUGAAUGCGUAGCCAGGGAUGGAGCUCAGAGCAUCUGGCACCGUGCUAAGGAUGGUCUGAAUGAGCUCACUCUGGGAAUAUCCCUUCCAUAGAUCUACCUUCCCUUAUCUCCCAGCCUUCCCCUCCCCCAGCCCCCAACAGCCCUCCCUCUCGGUCCCUUUGUUCUACCCGUGCACUCACUGUAGCCCUUAGGACAGUCAGACACUGCAAGAGGCAGGAGAGGAAACAGGAUCUCCUAACCCUGACAGAGAAGAGAGAUCUGGGAACUCACAGCAGUUAUAGCUUCAUCAGGGAACCGGACAGGAAAACACCUGGUGGGAUUUCAGCUCAGUGGGUAAAAGGUCCACAAGUGGAAACUAGAGAAGAGAAACACCAUAAAAAUAUAAAGCAACUGGAGGAACAGGAGUUUCUGAGAGAAAGAUACAAAGAGAUGGUUUCUGGAGCAGUGCUAAUGCGAGAAGCUGAAAGAGCUGGAGGAAACUGAGAAAGAAGAGGAAGCCAGCGGAAAACAAACCAGAAACAUUCACUACCGGUGAAAGAAGUUUCAACAAACUCAGCAGCAUUUUUAAGAUUCCCAGGGCCGUGCACACAUAUCUGGUACACAUACAAUAAUCACAGACACCACAGAAAAAAACAUCAGUUUGGGAAAAAAACUUCUGGAGGGUUCACGGAAUUAACAGAGCUGGUUGAAUGAUAUGAAACAUAUUUUGGAGACUGGAAGCUAUUAAUUUGGUUCCACAUUAUUCCUGCAGUCACAUUAUUUGCUAUUCACCAUAUUUGAAUAGCCAUCAGGCAUUUGUGAAAAUGUCUGCGCAUCGCCAAAGUUUCAUGAAUUUUAACUCCAGUGAUCACCUGUCCAAAACUUCAUCCUGGGAAAUAUAUUUUUCAUUAUUUAUUAUUCAUUAUUUUUUUAUUUUAAACGUUUCAGCCAUCCAGUCAGGGAGCAGAAACAAUCCCAUGUGACCUAGGUGAUCCGUCAAACCCCCAUGAAUAAUGAAUAGUAAAUAACUUGUGGACAACCCAUAGACUGAGAUUUAUUUGCACAGCCCCUCUGGUGAAUACAUGCACAUUGCAGAGUUGCUCAGGCACAGAAGAAAGGGCUGAAUU
rnacentral:lncRNA from 1 species